rnacentral:rRNA from 1 species
ACGAACGCUGCCGGCGUGCCUAAUACAUGCAAGUAGAACGCUGAAGAGAGGAGCUUGCUCUUCUUGGAUGAGUUGCGAACGGGUGAGUAACGCGUAGGUAACCUGCCUUGUAGCGGGGGAUAACUAUUGGAAACGAUAGCUAAUACCGCAUAACAAUGGAUGACACAUGUCAUUUAUUUGAAAGGGGCAAUUGUUCCACUACAAGAUGGACCUGCGUUGUAUUAGCUAGUAGGUGAGGUAAUGGCUCACCUAGGCGACGAUACAUAGCCGACCUGAGAGGGUGAUCGGCCACACUGGGACUGAGACACGGCCCAGACUCCUACGGGAGGCAGCAGUAGGGAAUCUUCGGCAAUGGGGGCAACCCUGACCGAGCAACGCCGCGUGAGUGAAGAAGGUUUUCGGAUCGUAAAGCUCUGUUGUAAGUCAAGAACGGGUGUGAGAGUGGAAAGUUCACACUGUGACGGUAGCUUACCAGAAAGGGACGGCUAACUACGUG